rnacentral:rRNA from 1 species
AGGACGAACGCUGGCGGCGUGCUUAACACAUGCAAGUCGAACGGAAAGGCCCUUCGGGGUACUCGAGUGGCGAACGGGUGAGUAACACGUGGGUGAUCUGCCCUGCACUUUGGGAUAAGCCUGGGAAACUGGGUCUAAUACCGAAUAGGACCACGGCAUGCAUGUGCUGUGGUGGAAAGCUUUUGCGGUGUGGGAUGGGCCCGCGGCCUAUCAGCUUGUUGGUGGGGUGAUGGCCUACCAAGGCGACGACGGGUAGCCGGCCUGAGAGGGUGUCCGGCCACACUGGGACUGAGAUACGGCCCAGACUCCUACGGGAGGCAGCAGUGGGGAAUAUUGCACAAUGGGCGCAAGCCUGAUGCAGCGACGCCGCGUGGGGGAUGACGGCCUUCGGGUUGUAAACCCUUCAGUAGGACGAAGCGCAAGUGACGGUACCUACAGAAGAAGCACCGGCCAACUACGCGCCAGCAGCCGCGGUAA